rnacentral:rRNA from 1 species
GUAACGGCCCACCAAGGCGACGAUCAGUAGCCGGCCUGAGAGGGUGGACGGCCACAUUGGGACUGAGACACGGCCCAAACUCCUACGGG